rnacentral:rRNA from 1 species
UGAGGCUGUACGCGGCUGUGCUCUCGGGCCAGUUUUGCGGAGGCUGAAUUAUUUAUUACCCUUGUCUUUUGCGCACUUGUUGUUUCCUGGGCGGGUUCGCCCGCCACCAGGACCACAUCAUAAACCUUUUUUAUGCAGUUGCAAUCAGCGUCAGUAUAACAAAUGUAAAUCAUUUACAACUUUCAACAACGGAUCUCUUGGUUCUGGCAUCGAUGAAGAACGCAGCGAAAUGCGAUACGUAGUGUGAAUUGCAGAAUUCAGUGAAUCAUCGAAUCUUUGAACGCACAUUGCGCCCUUUGGUAUUCCAAAGGGCAUGCCUGUUCGAGCGUCAUUUGUACCCUCAAGCUUUGCUUGGUGUUGGGCGUUUUUUGUCUUUGGUUGCCAAAGACUCGCCUUAAAAGGAUUGGCAGCCGGCCUACUGGUUUCGCAGCGCAGCACAUUUUUGCGCUUGCAAUCAGCAAAAGAGGACGGCAAUCCAUCAAGACUCCUUCUCACGUUUGACCUCGGAUCAGGUAGGGAUACCCGCUGAACUUAAGCAUAUCAAUAAGCGGAGGAA